rnacentral:rRNA from 1 species
CAGCAGCCGCGGUAAUACGGAGGGUGCAAGCGUUAAUCGGAAUUACUGGGCGUAAAGCGUGCGUAGGUGGUGGUUUAAGUCCGUUGUGAAAGCCCUGGGCUCAACCUGGGAAUUGCAGUGGAUACUGGGUCACUAGAGUGUGGUAGAGGAUAGUGGAAUUUCCGGUGUAGCAGUGAAAUGCGUAGAGAUCGGAAGGAACAUCUGUGGCGAAGGCGACUAUCUGGGCCAACACUGACACUGAGGCACGAAAGCGUGGGGAGCAAACAGGAUUAGAUACCCCUGUAGUCCCUGUCUCUUAUAC